rnacentral:rRNA from 1 species
CACGUAGGGGCCAAGCGUUGUCCGGAAUUAUUGGGCGUAAAGAGCUCGUAGGCGGUUUGUCGCGUCUGCUGUGAAAACCCGAGGCUCAACCUCGGGCCUGCAGUGGGUACGGGCAGACUAGAGUGCGGUAGGGGAGAUUGGAAUUCCUGGUGUAGCGGUGGAAUGCGCAGAUAUCAGGAGGAACACCCGUAGCGAAGGCGGCACUCUGGGCCGAUACUGACACUGAGGAGCGAAAGCGUGGGGAGCGAACAGG